GAAUCCAAUGAGAGGUGCAAAACGACCACGAGACAAUAAUGAGAAGGAAAUGAAGGAACGCAAGCUUAAUCCGUUACACGGUAUAAUUGAAUGGGUUGGUCUCGAAAUGGAACUACCAACCCCGGAUGUGCCACUUGUCAUCAUUGCAGAGAAAUUGUUUGAGCUUGGUGAUUGCUAUAUUGUCUGGAAAGACAAAGCCAUUCCCGUCGGGCAAAAUCUACUUGGUGCCUUCAUCCUUUUGUGUCAAACAUUUACAGUUUUUAAUGUCAAAUGUCACCCUUCGGAUAAACUAUUUUACUCAUUUUUUUAUGCAUCUUGCUUCAAACUCGAGUCUCUAAGUACAACAGGCAAUAAGUUUUUGAAUCAACUUAUCUAGAUGCUACGAAACUUUCGAUUAUAUUUUAACUAUUGCUCGAAAAUCGAAACAAGAGCGUUUUCAUUUAAUGUAUAAAUAUGGAAUGAAAUAUAACUUGAAUUUAUAGAAAUAAACGCUAAUAAACGAUGAUAA